GAUGAACGCUGGCGGCGUGCCUAAUACAUGCAAGUCGAGCGAACAGACGAGGAGCUUGCUCCUCUGACGUUAGCGGCGGACGGGUGAGUAACACGUGGAUAACCCACCUAUAAGACUGGGAAAACUUCGGGAAAGCGGAGCUAAUACCGGAUAAUAUAUUGAACCGCAGGGUUGAAUAGAGAAAGACGGCGUUGCGGGCACUAAUAGAGGGAUACGCGCCGCAUUAGCUAGUUGGUAAGGUAAAGGCUUACGAAGGCAACGAUGCGUAGGAGACCGGAGAGGCGGAUAGCCCGCCUUGGAGCUUGACCGCGGUCCUGACUCCUGCGGGAGGCAGCAGUAGCGUAUCUUCCGCAGUGGGCGGGAGCCUUGCAGAACGGCGCCACGUGUGUGAUGGAGGUCUUCCGAUCGUGAUGAUCUGUUUUUGGGGGAGAACAACUGUGUAAGUUACUGUACCCGUCUUGACGGUACCUAGUCAGAAAGCCCCGGCUAACUACGUG
rnacentral:rRNA from 1 species